CAGCUUGUUGGUGAGGUAACGGCUUACCAAGGCUAUGACGGGUAGCUGGUCUGAGAGGACGACCAGUCACACUGGGACUGAGACACGGCCCAGACACCUACGGGUGGCAGCAGUCGAGAAUUUUUGACAAUGGGGGAAACCCUGAUCGAGCGACGCCGCGUGGAGGAUGAAGGUCUUCGGGUUGUAAACUCCUGUCAUUUGGGAACAAGUCGCGUGUAUUAACUGUGCACGCGUUGAUAGUACCAGAAGAGGAAGAGACGGCUAACUCUGUGCCAGCAGCCGCGGUAAUACAGAGGUCUCAAGCGUUGUUCGGAUUCAUUGGGCGUAAAGGGUGUGUAGGUGGCGCGCUAAGUCGGGUGUGAAAUUUCGGAGCUUAACUCCGAAACUGCAUUCGAUACUGGCGUGCUUGAGGACUGGAGAGGAGACUGGAAUUUACGGUGUAGCAGUGAAAUGCGUAGAUAUCGUAAGGAAGACCAGUGGCGAAGGCGGGUCUCUGGACAGUUCCUGACACUGAGACACGAAGGCCAGGGGAGCAAACGGGAUUAGAUACCCCGGUAGUCCUGGCAGUAAACGGUGCACGUUUGGUGUGGGGGGAUUCGACCCCUUCUGCG
rnacentral:rRNA from 1 species